UACGUAGGGUGCGAGCGUUGUCCGGAAUUAUUGGGCGUAAAGGGCUCGUAGGCGGUCUGUCGCGUCGGGAGUGAAAACUCAGGGCUUAACCCUGAGCCUGCUUCCGAUACGGGCAGACUAGAGGUAUGCAGGGGAGAACGGAAUUCCUGGUGUAGCGGUGAAAUGCGCAGAUAUCAGGAGGAACACCGGUGGCGAAGGCGGUUCUCUGGGCAUUACCUGACGCUGAGGAGCGAAAGUGUGGGGAGCAAACAGG
rnacentral:rRNA from 1 species